AUCCGCGAGGGAACAUCGUCCGCAAUCCACCUCCACGCGCUAUCAUUCUCCUCGCCUCCUCUCGCUCGGGCCAUGUCGCGCUUCUUCCUCGGCGCCACCCUGACCGCGCAGCGAGUGAGAGCAUGUCCUCUUCUCUGUCGGAUUUGCCCACCUCUUCUCUGUCGGCGUCUGUAGUCCCCGCUGCGGUCACCGCUCGCCUCGCCCUCUCUGUCCAACGCGAUGGUCACACCGGCCUUCUUUCUCGUCAACCACCC
rnacentral:lncRNA from 7 species